rnacentral:rRNA from 1 species
ACGCUCGACACCUACUGGAGGCAGCAGUGGGGAAUAUUGGGCAAUGGGCGCAAGCCUGACCCAGCAACGCCGCGUGAAGGAAGAAGGCCCUCGGGUUGUAAACUUCUUUUGACAGGGACGAAACAAAUGACGGUACCUGUCGAAUAAGCCACGGCUAACUACGUGCAAGCAGCCGCGGUAAUCUGAGCGGGCUGGCAAGGC